GGGGGCGGGAAGUGGCCGGGACUGGAUGUGCGGGUGGAAGGACUGCGGAGGGGGUGGGGGAUUGGAUGGACGGGGCGGCCCCCCAGCCCGGCCCCUCCCCUGCCAGCCUGGAAUUUCCUGCAAGUGGGGAAGUCUGGCUGUUUGGAAAGAGUAAUUUCUUCCAGAUUGCAGCGGUUGGGGGAGCGAGUGUGAGGCCUGGAAGAGAGAGAGAAGCCGACAAGAUCAGGCAGUGAGACCGGCGGUAGGAGCGGGUGGAGGUGGCCGCGGAGGGCGGUCCUCUGCCUGCGGUGGGGAGUUGAAGGUCCGGGCCUGGGCGUCACCUCGCUAGGGGCUCGCGCCGAGCGGUACGAGAAGACUCAGGGUCGGGGGGAGGACGAUCCCCAAGGGGGUGAGGGCGGGAAGAGCCCCACCUCGGAGAGGAGGCCGGCUCGGUUGUGAGCUGGGAUGGAGGGGCUGGAGAGGAGGGAAAGAAAGAGAAGGCGCUCAGUCGUAUCCGACUCCCAUGGAGUGGGGCCCACCCGGCUCCUCUGUCCUUGGGGAUUCUCCAGGCAAGCAUACUGGAGAGGGAUCUUCCCCACCCAGGACUCGAACUCAGGUCACCGACAUUGCAGGCAGACACUUCACCGUCUGAGCCACUUUUGCGGCCAAGAGCAGGGAGGGUCCUGGAUAAGGAGGAAGUGUGGUGAUCGGAAGAGCAUCGUGCCACCCCGACUCGGGGCCUGCUCCCCCCGCCCCAGGGCUCACCAGGUCACCAGCUGCCUCGCCCACGCUCCACGCUCCCGGGUCUGGGCUCCCGACCCGAGGCCACCCUCCACACAGCACCUUGCUACCUGCCCCUUCAGAACCGUGUGCCACUCAAACUGCUCACCAGUUUCAGGGCGAGCUCCAAACUCUUCUAAGUGGACUCAAGGCUGUUCGUCAUGCCGCAGAGGAGGCCCCCCAGCCUCAGCUCUCACUUCUGUUUUGCUCCAAACGCGAAGGCUGCAGUCACACCACAAACACACACACACACACACACUCAG
rnacentral:lncRNA from 1 species